CUGGAGACACUUCCCGGCACCCUGCCGGAGGGGAUUUUGGAGGUGGAGGGCUUCUUCAUCAUCAUCAUCGCCCCUCCAAUGACUGGUGAGUAGUUCACUUCAGACCUACGGGUUCGUAGUUAGUAGCUAGAUGGCUUCUUCUCUCUCUUGGAUCUUCAAUAUAAAGUUCUCCAUGAUCUUGAUGGAGAUCUAUCUGAUGUAAUAUUCUUUGGCGG
rnacentral:lncRNA from 1 species